UACGAAGGGGGCUAGCGUUGCUCGGAAUCACUGGGCGUAAAGGGUGCGUAGGCGGGGCUUUAAGUCAGGGGUGAAAUCCUGGAGCUCAACUCCAGAACUGCCUUUGAUACUGAAGAUCUUGAGUUCGGGAGAUGUGAGUGGAACUGCGAGUGUAGAGGUGAAAUUCGUAGAUAUUCGCAAGAACACCAGUGGCGAAGGCGGCUCACUGGCCCGAUACUGACGCUGAGGCACGAAAGCGUGGGGAGCAAACAGG
rnacentral:rRNA from 1 species